rnacentral:rRNA from 1 species
UACGGAGGGUGCAAGCGUUAUCCGGAUUUACUGGGUUUAAAGGGUGCGUAGGUGGGUCUUUAAGUCAGUGGUGAAAUCUCCGAGCUUAACUCGGAAACUGCCAUUGAUACUAUAGAUCUUGAAUUAUCUGGAGGUAAGCGGAAUAUGUCAUGUAGCGGUGAAAUGCUUAGAUAUGACAUAGAACACCAAUUGCGAAGGCAGCUUACUACGGAUCGAUUGACACUGAGGCACGAAAGCGUGGGGAUCAAACAGG